UGUAAAGCUUUAAAGCUGGUUUAUAGUCCAACACCUGCGUGGAGUUACAAGGUCGCUAGUCGGCGUUGAAGUUUCAAGUUAGCGUCAUGGUUUGUACCAUCGGUUUAUGCCACAGAAGCUAAUACCAAAGGUUUUAUACUCAAACUCCAGUCGGUGCCAACAUCGAAGCUAGCGUCAGCGCUGGCUGCCGUCAAGAGUUGAAAAUUUCUCUACUUUGGAGUUGGGAGUUGAAUACUCGACGAUAUGAGUACUCCAACGCCGACUAAUGAACGACCUUGUAACUCCACGCUGGAGUCCGAAUAUAAACCAGUUUUUAGGUUUUGCACCUUCGACGAUAACAACGAUAAUGAACAAAUGCUGAAAAUAUUAAACUUUCUUAUUUUGUUUUCUUAUAUCUCUCCUGUUUCGGCAUCUAAUGCCUCAAACAAGUCCUUCUCAAGCCUUACUAUAUAAACUCUUGCAGGAAUAACACACAACUUCCUGGCAGUCA
rnacentral:lncRNA from 1 species